rnacentral:tRNA from 1 species
AUUUAUAUAAUAUAUAAAAGUAUAUUUGACUUCCAAUCAAAAAGUUUAAAUAAUUUUAAUAUAAAUA